rnacentral:rRNA from 1 species
UACGUAGGGUGCAAGCGUUGUCCGGAAUUAUUGGGCGUAAAGAGCUCGUAGGCGGUUUGUCGCGUCUGCUGUGAAAACCCGAGGCUCAACCUCGGGCCUGCAGUGGGUACGGGCAGACUUGAGUUCGGUAGGGGAGCGGGGAAUUCCUGGUGUAGCGGUGAAAUGCGCAGAUAUCAGGAGGAACACCAGUGGCGAAGGCGCCGCUCUGGGCCGAGACUGACGCUGAGGAGCGAAAGCUAGGGGAGCAAACGGG